CCUACGGGGGGCAGCAGUGGGGAAUAUUGGGCAAUGGAGGAAACUCUUACCCAGCAAUGCCGCGUGAAUGAAGAAGGUCUUCGGAUUGUAAAGUUCUUUAAUUGGGGACGAAAAAAAUGACGGUACCCAAGGAAUAAGCCCCGGCUAACUACGUGCCAGCAGCCGCGGUAAUACGUAGGGGGCAAGCGUUAUCCGGAUUUACUGGGUGUAAAGGGAGCGUAGACGGCGCGGCAAGUCUGAAGUGAAAGGCAGGGGCUUAACCCCUGAACUGCUUUGGAAACUGCCAUGCUAG
rnacentral:rRNA from 1 species